rnacentral:rRNA from 1 species
CACCAGGUUGAUUCUGCCUGACGUGGAUGCUAGUUUCAUAGAUUAAGCCAUGCAUGUGUAAGCGAAGCGUAAGUGGAGCGGCGUAAGGCUCAGUAACGGGCGAUUAUUUGAUCUCUCUCGGUGGAUAUCCUCUGUAAACGGAGGGCAAAACACAGAAGAGGCGGUGGUUACAUCGUCUGUUUAACGGAUAGUGAGAGAGAGUAAGAUGCCAUCCCAUCAGUUAGUAAGUAGGGUAAGGGCCUACUUAGACGAAGACGGGUACGGGGAAUUAUCGUUUGAUUCCGGAGAGGGAGCCUGAGAGACGGCUACCAGGUCCAAGGACAGCAGCAGGCGCGAAAAUUACCGCAGCCUGCAUUCAGGGCGGUAGUAAGGAGACGUGAAUACGAUGUGCAGGUAAAUGAUGCACUAAAUACAGGAGGACAAGACUGGUGCCAGCACCCGCGGUAAUACCAGCUCCUGGAGUGUCUAUGAUGAUUGCUGCAGUUAAAGAGUUCGUAGUCGGAGCGUUUUGACCGGCGUGACAGACUGCCACUCAAGGGGAGUUUUGCGCCGUGAUUACGCGGAAUGAGGAGCGUCUAGGGGCCAGGUUACUAAGCGACGAGGGGUGAAAUCUGGUGACUCGCUUAGGAGCGACAGAGGCGAAAGCGCUGGCCAGGGGCGAAUCCGAUGAUAAAGGACGUAGGCUAGAGGAUCGAAGACGAUUAGAGACCGUUGUAGUUUUAGCAGUAAACGAUGCCGAUGCCGUGGUGCUUUGUGAGCGACGCGGAAGAGAAAUCUAGUAGGGCCCUGGGGAGAGUACGCGCGCAAGCGAGAAAUUUAAAGGAAAUUGACGGAAGAACACCACAAGGAGUGGAGUGUGCGGCUUAAUUUGACUCAACGCGGGACAGCUUACCAGGCCCGACGGCCGGACGAGUGUGGUACACGAUAGGCCGGAGAGUGGUGCAUGGCCGUUAACGACGAGUGGGGUGACCUUAGGGUUAAGUCCGGGAAGUAGUGAGACCCCUGCGAAGGACAGGUGCUGCAAGGCACAGGAAGGAAGGGUCAAGAACAGGUCAGUGAUGCCCUUAGAUGGUCUGGGCUGCACGCGCACUACAGUGGUUUCCAGAAUUGUGCUGUAGAGGUAAUGGAGAUCGAGAGGGAAUGAGCUUUGGAAGAGGCUCAGGAACGAGGAAUUGCUAGUAAUCGCGGACUCAUUAAGACGCGAUGAAUACGUCCCUGUUCUUUGUACACACCGCCCGUCGUUAUCGAAGAUGGAGUCAGGCGCGAACAAGCGAGAGCGAGUGAGUGCAGGAUUCUAGAUCUGAUACAAGUCGUAACAAGGUAACC